AUUGAACGCUGGCGGCAGGCCUAACACAUGCAAGUCGAACGAGUGGCGGACGGGUGAGUAAUGUCUGGGCAACUGGCCGAUGGAGGGGGAUAACUACUGGAAACGGUAGCUAAUACCGCAAACCAUCGGUUGAGCCCAGAGGGGAUAAGCUAGUAGGUGGGGUAACGGCUCACCUAGGCGACGAGCCCUAGCUGGUCUGAGAGGAUGACCGGCCACACUGGAACGGAGACACGGGCCAGACUCCUACGGGAGGCAGCAGUGGGGAAUAUUGGACAAUGGGCGAAAGCCUGAUGCAGCCAUGCCGCGUGUAUGAAGAAGGCCUUCGGGUUGUAAAGUACUUUCAGCGGGGAGGCGUUACUCGAAGAGAAAGCACCGGCUAACUCCGUGCCAGCAGCCGCGGUAAUAC
rnacentral:rRNA from 1 species